GAGUGGGAUAGGCUGUGCCUGAGGAAAAGGAAGAUGUUGUGUUCCAGGUUCCUGGAAUAAGAGACUAGGAAGUAGCUCUGGGGUUACUGCUCUGGGAAAUGAGCAGAGCUGGGAAAUUACCAGGAGCAGGCAUGUCAGAGAGCCUUUGGAGAGUGGCCCUGAAGUACGAGAGAAAUGAGACAGGACAGCUGGAACUUUGAAACUCCAAGGCAAUAUAUUAAUGGUGUAACAGGUGAGAAGAAGAGACUCAGAUAUCAGAUACUGGGUUGCAUGCAAGCACCUUAUGAAGGAUUGUCUUUAAGCCACCUUUGCAUCACCUCCUGAAACUGCAAUCCGUCCUCCAAGGACUCAUCCUGUUCCCUGCGGCUCCUAUUGCAGUUCUGCAAAUACUGCACGAUCAUGCACCCUGUGAUUGCAGUGCUCAUUACAAAAGUGCAAAUUGUGCUGCAGAUGAAAUUAUGGGAUGGAGAGCACUGCAUUAUGGGAAUUUGACUCCAGGCUCGGUCACACCUGUGAUUCAUUUCAGCCCCAUUAGGCAUUGCAAAAACUACCCCAAACACUCUGUUCUAGAUGGUGCACUGCAUUCUGCAUCAAUACAAGUGCUCGUAGUGAGGAUGCUAACACAAGGAACAAAGCAUGCAUACGCACAAGCGAUGUAAUAACUGCAGCAGCUGUAUACUGAUAUAACUUAUUUUGACAUAAUUUUGUAGCAUAGACAUGGCCUUAGUAGAGGACACUGUUUUCCUAAACAUCUCUGAAUAUGUACUAUCAGCCAUGUAUAUGAUUUCCCAGUUCAAUUGCUUUUGUAAUUUAGGUUUGACAAUUUGAUCUGUUUUCUUGUUCAACUAGUUUUUUUUACAAAGUUCUUUUUAGUAAAGGGCCUUUUUUUGGUUACUAUUUCAUCACAUUCUCUUCAUAAACCAUCAUUUUAUGUUAUGUACAAUGAUUGGCUCUGCUUUAGUACCUUUUAAAAUAAGAGUUAAACACAAGUCGUAGAACUUAAACUAUUUCAUAUAAAAACGAGUACAUUUUUCUGUAUCACAGAGCAUGAUUGAACAUGUCUGCAAUAACUCUUGAUACAUACAAAGCUCCUUCUGUAGUUUGUCAUCUUUGUGAUCUCCUUUAAAAUGGAAAAACCCCGUCUGUGCAGAUGGCUUUUUCCAUUAGCCUCUCAGUGAUCUGACUCUAAUAAUACUUUUCUGGAGUAUAAAUUGUACAUGCUAUAGAUAAAAGCUGACACUCUUGUAAAGUCUAACAGUUAUAUUUCAGUAACGGCAUUAAUGCAAUUUUAGCUUUCAUUUAACAAAGUUUUUUUUUCUUGAUAGUAAUAUUUAGUGUUAAUAGCACAGCAUAUUUUAACCAGCUGAUCAUAUACUAUGGUUACGGCUUUGUUCUCUAAAUGAUAUUGAACAAAAAUAAUUUCAAACUUGGGAAAGUCUGAUUUUGUAGGGUGAUUUAAGAGUGAAUAAAAAAAUCUGUUUUUCUCAUUCUACAAAAUUGCAACAAUAAAUAUGUCUUGGUACUGUACAAGUCAUUUAUGUGCUUCUUAAAAUGAGGGAAAAAAGGGACUAGC